rnacentral:tRNA from 1 species
GGUUCCUUAGCUCAGCGGUAGAGCGGCGCCCUCAUAAGGUGUUGGUCACAAGUUCAAACCUUGUAGGAAUCACCA